GGUUACAUGGCCCAAUGGCAAGGCGCUUGACUACGAAUCAAGAGAUUCCAGGUUCGACCCCUGGUGUGAUCA